CACGUAGGGUGCGAGCGUUGUCCGGAAUUAUUGGGCGUAAAGAGCUCGUAGGCGGUUCGUCGCGUCGGCUGUGAAAUCCCGAGGCUCAACCUCGGGUCUGCAGUCGAUACGGGCGGACUGGAGUUCGGCAGGGGAGACUGGAAUUCCUGGUGUAGCGGUGAAAUGCGCAGAUAUCAGGAGGAACACCAAUAGCGAAGGCAGCUCGCUGGGACGGUAUUGACGCUAAGGCGCGGAAGCGUGGGGAGCAAACAGG
rnacentral:rRNA from 1 species